rnacentral:tRNA from 1 species
AUUUGUAUAGUUUAAAUUAAAACAUAAUCUUUUCACGGCUAAAAUGUAUUUUUCAUAAAUACUACAAAUA